rnacentral:pre_miRNA from 1 species
AAAGAGUGCAGUUUUAUUUGUAGUUGUUCGCAUUUAACCGUUUGUCUUAUUUAAAAAUAUUUUAUUAGCAGUAGUUUUAGUAUUUUUAGAUGAUAAAAUAUAAUAGUAUUUUAUGUGCUACAAUUUUUUAAAAAAUUCAAAUAAAAUGGAUGGUUAAAUAUUGACACAUAAAUCGAUAGCUACCCUUAAA